rnacentral:lncRNA from 1 species
UGAACCCCUCAGUUAGCAAGAUCCUCGCUCCCUCCAGCUUGGACUACAUUACCAACAAACACCAUGUGCCCCAACGUGUGUUGCUCCAGUGGAUGCUGCUCUGUUGUGAAGAGCAAGACAGUGUGCUGCAGCCCCUGUCAGAAGACAGUCUGCUGUGACCCGUGUCAGAAGACUGUCUGCUGUGAGAAGACUGUCUGCUGUGACCCGUGCCAGAAGCCUUGCUGUGACCCAUGCCAGACUUGCUGUGACCCGUGCCAGAAGCCUUGCUGUGACCCAUGCCAGACUUGCUGUGACCCGUGCCAAAAGCCAUGCUGUGACCCGUGCCAGACUUGCUGUGACCCAUGCCAGAAGCCCUGCUGUGAUCCAUGCCAGCAGUCUGUCUGCUGUGACCCGUGCCAGAAGCCUUGCUGUGACCCAUGCCAGACUUGCUGUGACCCAUGCCAGAAGCCUUGCUGUGACCCGUGCCAGACUUGCUGUGACCCGUGCCAGAAGACCGUCUGCUGUGACCCGUGCCAGACUUGCUGUGACCCGUGCCAGAAGACCGUCUGCUGUGACCCAUGCCAGAAGCCUUGCUGUGACCCAUGCCAGACUUGCUGUGACCCAUGCCAGAAGCCUUGCUGUGACCCGUGCCAGACUUGCUGUGACCCGUGCCAGAAGCCUUGCUGUGACCCGUGCCAGACUUGCUGUGAUCCAUGCCAGAAGCCAUGCUGUGACCCCUGCCAGACUUGCUGUGACCCGUGCCAAAAGCCAUGCUGUGACCCAUGCCAGACUUGCUGUGACCCGUGUCAGAAGACUGUCUGCUGUGACCCAUGCCAGAAGCCUUGCUGUGACCCGUGCCAGACUUGCUGUGACCCGUGCCAGAAGACUGUCUGCUGUGACCCGUGCCAGAAGCCUUGCUGUGACCCGUGCCAGACUUGCUGUGACCCGUGCCAGACUUGCUGUGACCCGUGCCAGAAGACCGUCUGCUGUGACCCAUGCCAGAAGACCGUCUGCUGUGACCCGUGCCAGAAGCCUUGCUGUGAUCCAUGCCAGACUUGCUGUGACCCAUGCCAGAAGCCAUGCUGUGACCCGUGCCAGACUUGCUGUGACCCGUGCCAGAAGCCCUGCUGCAGCUGCUGUAGCCAGCAGUGCCUGCAGACCUGCUGCCGCCCCUGCUGCUGCUCUGGCCGUCUGUCCUGCUGCUCCUACGUGGUGAAGAAGAAGCCCGUUGUGGUGUGUUGCAGCCCCGUGCAGUACUGCUCCCCGCUGAGGAAGUGCUGCGUACCCAUCAGGCAGUGCUGCACCACCGUCAAGAAGUGCUGCUGAACCUGCCCUGCAUAGGAGAAACAGGCACAAGGGGAUGGAGACCUGACCUUCCUUCUGUUUCACACGAUGAUGGAGUGCAUGCCUACUGAUUUUCUUCUGGUUUCCAAAUUGAAGCUGUCAUCUUCCUUCUUUCACACUGUCUUUUAAUUAUCAAAGAUCUGCAAUGCACUUGGAUAUGUCACCCAUUGUACGAGGCAUGGAGAUCUUACAUAUUCAUUCUCUUCUUGGUGUAUGGGACAUGGGAAACAUUUGCUAUUAGUGCAGUCAUUCUGUAUUUUCUCUCUUGACUUGUAGACAAUAAAACUUGGCAUUAAGCAAAACACAAAAUAUCUUGUUGCUUGGUUGUUCUUACCUCGUAUUGCCUUGAACGUGUCCUUGUCCUGGUGCCAUGUUCCAAGUCAUCAUCAGCCUCCUGAGGGCCAACAUGUGCUUCCAUUGCAAGGCAGAAC